rnacentral:rRNA from 1 species
CGGCCCAGACUCCUACGGGAGGCAGCAGUGAGGAAUAUUGGUCGAUGGGCGAGAGCCUGAACCAGCCAAGUAGCGUGCAGGAUGACGGCCCUAUGGGUUGUAAACUGCUUUUAUAAGGGAAUAAAGUGGGUCUCGUGAGACUUUUUGCAUGUACCUUAUGAAUAAGGACCGGCUAAUUCCGUGCCAGCAGCCGCGGUAAUACGGAAGGUCCGGGCGUUAUCCGGAUUUAUUGGGUUUAAAGGGAGCGUAGGCCGGAGAUUAAGCGUGCUGUGAAAUGUAGACGCUCAACGUCUGCACUGCAGCGCGAACUGGUUUCCUUGAGUACGCACAAAGUGGGCGGAAUUCGUGGUGUAGCGGUGAAAUGCUUAGAUAUCACGAAGAACUCCGAUUGCGAAGGCAGCUCACUGGAGCGCAACUGACGCUGAAGCUCGAAAGUGCGGGUAUCGAACAGGAUUAGAUACCCUGGUAGUCCGCACGGUAAACGAUGGAUGCCCGCUGUUGGUCUGAAUAGGUCAGCGGCCAAGCGAAAGCAUUAAGCAUCCCACCUGGGGAGUACGCCGGCAACGGUGAAACUCAAAGGAAUUGACGGGGGCCCGCACAAGCGGAGGAACAUGUGGUUUAAUUCGAUGAUACGCGAGGAACCUUACCCGGGCUUGAAUUGCAGAGGAAGGAUUUGGAGACAAUGACGCCCUUCGGGGCCUCUGUGAAGGUGCUGCAUGGUUGUCGUCAGCUCGUGCCGUGAGGUGUCGGCUUAAGUGCCAUAACGAGCGCAACCCCUCUCCUUAGUUGCCAUCAGUUGAAGCUGGGCACUCUGGGGACACUGCCACCGUAAGGUGUGAGGAAGGUGGGGAUGACGUCAAAUCAGCACGGCCCUUACGUCCGGGGCUACACACGUGUUACAAUGGCAGGUACAGAGAGACGGUCCCUUGCAAAACGGAUCAAAUCCUUAAAGCCUGUCUCAGUUCGGACUGGGGUCUGCAACCCGACCCCACGAAGCUGGAUUCGCUAGUAAUCGCGCAUCAGCCAUGGCGCGGUGAAUACGUUCCCGGGCCUUGUACACACCGCCCGUCAAGCCAUGAAAGCCGGGGGCGCCUAAAGUCCGUGACCGUAAGGAGCGGCCUAGGGCGAAACUGGUAAUUGGGGCUAAGUCGUAACAAGGUAGC